rfam:Oryza rufipogon genomic scaffold, chr02
AAUAAGUGCAGUUUUAGCACUGUUCAUGUCCAACGUUUGACCGUUCGUCUUAUUUGAAAAAAGAUUAUAAUUAGUAUUUUUAUUGUUAUUAGAUGAUAAAACAUGAAUAAUACUUUAUGUGUGACUAAUUUUUUUAAUAUUUUUUUAUAAAUUUUUCAAAUAAGACGGAUGGUCAAAACGCUGAGCACAUAUAUCUAUGACUAUAUUUAUU